GGAAUUAUUGGGCGUAAAGAGCUCGUAGGCGGUUUGUCGCGUCUGCUGUGAAAGACCGGGGCUCAACUCCGGUUCUGCAGUGGGUACGGGCAGACUAGAGUGCAGUAGGGGAGACUGGAAUUCCUGGUGUAGCGGUGAAAUGCGCAGAUAUCAGGAGGAACACCGAUGGCGAAGGCAGGUCUCUGGGCUGUAACUGACGCUGAGGAGCGAAAGCAUGGGGAGCGAACAGGAUUAGAUACCCUGGUAGUCCAUGCCGUAAACGUUGGGCACUAGGUGUGGGGGACAUUCCACGUUUUCCGCGCCGUAGCUAACGCAUUAAGUGCCCCGCCUGGGGAGUACGGCCGCAAGGCUAAAACUCAAAGGAAUUGACGGGGGCCCGCACAAGCGGCGGAGCAUGCGGAUUAAUUCGAUGCAACGCGAAGAACCUUACCAAGGCUUGACAUGGACCGGAAAGACCUGGAAACAGGUGCCCCGCUUGCGGCCGGUUUACAGGUGGUGCAUGGUUGUCGUCAGCUCGUGUCGUGAGAUGUUGGGUUAAGUCCCGCAACGAGCGCAACCCUCGUUCUAUGUUGCCAGCGGUUCGGCCGGGGACUCAUAGGAGACUGCCGGGGUCAACUCGGAGGAAGGUGGGGACGACGUCAAAUCAUCAUGCCCCUUAUGUCUUGGGCUUCACGCAUGCUACAAUGGCCGGUACAAAGGGUUGCGAUACUGUGAGGUGGAGCUAAUCCCAAAAAGCCGGUCUCAGUUCGGAUUGGGGUCUGCAACUCGACCCCAUGAAGUCGGAGUCGCUAGUAAUCGCAGAUCAGCAACGCUGCGGUGAAUACGUUCCCGGGCCUUGUACACACCGCCCGUCAAGUCACGAAAGUUGGUAACACCCGAAGCCGG
rnacentral:rRNA from 1 species